UUGGCACUCGAUGUAAAGCAAUCUCGUUGUUUUCUCCCUCGACGAGAAAACUCGUUCACGCUCACUCUGAUCCGAAAAAAAGUUGUUUCGUUUGUACAAGUUUUCUUAGACUCGGAGAAAAUGUGUGUAAUUUGGUAAAUGACUAUGUCGGAUUCGUUAAAUUAACAACGACGAAAGUACAACACCCAGGAGAAAAGAGCAAUUCAAAAUGCUCGUCACUUUGCGAACGAAGCAAAAGGAUAGAAGAAACGGACAGUGGAAGACGGACAGCAGUGGUAAACAGUGUAGACGGACAAGGCCAGUGGAGAAUUGAAACGGACAAUGGGGAUAGUAGAAGCGGACAAGAGAAAUGGACGCUGGUGGGACUCUAGCGUAGAAAUAAAUAGUAGAAACGGCUGUUACAAACGGCCAACGAGUGACAAAGUGUGGCUGACUGUGUGGAUGCUCGCUAUCGAAAAGAGGUAAAAGAAGGCGUGCAAUUCUCAAUGGCGUCGAGGAAGCAGCGGUAACUGGGUGGAGAAAAUGGAUGAACGAACGAUCGCUAAAACGAACAAUAGAGAAUAAACAAGACUCGUAGAAUUCGUAUAUGUACCUACAUAGACGGUGGCAUAGGAAAGCGUCGAUUGCAGUGCGACUAAAGCGAGCAAAUAUCGAGGUUAUAUACGAGGCGCCGAUAGAGCAUGUUGCUUGCAAAUGAGGGAGACAGGAAGAGAGAGAGAGAGAGAGGAGGAAAUGCGUUUAUUUAAUUCAAUUAAAAUUCUUAUUAAGUUCAAACAUCGUGUCCUCGUGAUUCGUUUCGAUGCGAAUUCAUGGUGAACGAAUUAGAAAUCAUCACGUGUCACCGAUACAUCUACAAAUAUACCUAUGUGUACUUGAACGAA